AAAACCCUAUGGUAACACUUGUUUACCAAAUGGAAAAUACAGUAGACUAUCAUUACUUGGAAAGUAUAUGAAAACUUGCAACAAACUAGUCAUAUCAGGUUAAAAGACAUAUGUUUGAUAUUGCUAUUGGUACCAUUACAAUCACAUGCACGUAUGAAAAUCCGAAGUACAUUUGACAAUAUUUGACAGUAUAUAGUAAUUGUUGCUUGUUGUAAUUUCGAUAUUUUUAAACAAAAUAAAUUCAAAC